UACGGGGGGAGCAAGCGUUGUUCGGAUUUACUGGGCGUAAAGGGCGCGUAGGCGGCGUGACUAGUCACUUGUGAAAUCUCCGGGCUUAACUCGGAACGGUCAGGUGAUACUGUCGUGCUAGAGUACAGAAGGGGCAACUGGAAUUCUCGGUGUAGCGGUGAAAUGCGUAGAUAUCGAGAGGAACACCUGCGGCGAAGGCGGGUUGCUGGGCUGAUACUGACGCUGAUGCGCGAAAGCCAGGGGAGCGAACGGG
rnacentral:rRNA from 1 species